rnacentral:rRNA from 1 species
UACAGUGGUCUCAACCGUUGUUCGGAUUCAUUGGGCGUAAAGGGUGCGUAGGCGGUCGCGCAAGUCGGAUGUGAAAUCUCAGGGCUCAACCCUGAAACUGCAUUCGAUACUGCGUGGCUAGAGUGCUGGAGGGGAGACUGGAAUUUACGGUGUAGCAGUGAAAUGCGUAGAUAUCGUAAGGAAGACCAGUGGCGAAGGCGGGUCUCUGGACAGUUCCUGACGCUGAGGCACGAAGGCCAGGGGAGCAAACGGG